AGGUCCAGGUGGUUGAAGAAUAAUCCACCCUUGCGAGUAGAGCGUGCAAGAGUUGCAUGUCGUCUAGACAGCGUCCUUUCGGAAUGGUGGCUCUGUAUGUCAAGUCCAGACAGACCAAGAUAGGGGAUUUGGUCAUACGGGGCAGGACAUUGGGACAUACCGGGAUCUGUGGUCCUGGGUUCAAUCACCCAGUGAUGGUGACGACAACGUCCCAUUGGUCUAGCUGUAAUUAGCUAAUGGAUUUUGGCUAUCAGUUGUAGUUCUAGCAGCUGUCAGUCACAGCCUGAUUGUCCUCCAGACAGACAGUAUCUUAGGACAUAACAUGCAUGGCAACGAGUCACUGGAAGAGGAAGACUGGAUCAAACAUAAUGGACAUCUUUCUUGGAUUACUCAUGCACUCAUACAGCACUGAGGAUCACGGGGGGUGCUGGAGCCUAUCUCAGCUGCUGAGAUACACCCUGGACAAGUCGCUACCUCAUCACAGGGCCAACACAGAUAGACAGACAACAUUCACACUCACAUUCACACACUAGGGCCAAUUUAGUGUUGCCAAUCAAGCAUGAUCAUAAUGUAAGAUGAUUUUUCAUUUUGUUAUUUUGUUAGACUGGAAGUGAUGCGUAGCGCUUUCAUUGUGAAGCCGGCAGUGUGUGAUUGAUAUGAGAAGCGGUGUCUUGACAUAUUUUGACGAAAGUCUCCGAUUAAAAAGUGACUCUCAA